UAUAAGACUGGGAUAACUUCGGGAAACCGGAGCUAAUACCGGAUAAUAUAUUGAACCGCAUGGUUCAAUAGUGAAAGACGGUUUUGCUGUCACUUAUAGAUGGAUCCGCGCCGCAUUAGCUAGUUGGUAAGGUAACGGCUUACCAAGGCAACGAUGCGUAGCCGACCUGAGAGGGUGAUCGGCCACACUGGAACUGAGACACGGUCCAGACUCCUACGGGAGGCAGCAGAG
rnacentral:rRNA from 1 species